GCUAAUAUAACCACGAAACCGAUAGCGAACAAGUACCGUGAGGGAAAGUUGAAAAGUACUCUGAAUAGAGAGUUAAAUAGUACGUGAAACCGCUUAGGGGUUAAGCCCGAUGAACCCGAAUAUCUGAUGUGAGAAAUUCAAUACUGUUUAUUUAAUAUUAAUGCGAUAGUAUGCACUUUUCUCAUAGUAGGACAUUGUAAUCCAUUGAUAUUAUAUCAUUUUCACAUUAUAUGGGAAAUGAUGAUUUAACAUACGAACAAAAUGCAUAAGUUUAUUCUAUCAGUGAUAUGUUUUCAUGUCAUAUGAAUAAGAUCGUUUUGUAUCUGUUUAAAAUAGUCGAUGGAUUUUAAACUGAAUCAUGCUUGCAAUUUAUUUUGCGUUUCGUAUUAUUGGCUAUUUAAUUGGUUGAUAAUAGCAGAAAUGGCAUGCAUUCGAUUAACAAUGCGAUAGAUUUGGGAUGCCUUCGGGACCCGUCUUGA
rnacentral:rRNA from 1 species